AGAGUUUGAUCCUGGCUCAGAUUGAACGCUGGCGGCACGCCUAACACAUGCAAGUCGAGCGGUAACAGGAUCUGUAGCAAUACAGGUUGCUGACGAGCGGCGGACGGGUGAGUAAUACGUAGGAACUUGCCCUAUAGAGGGGGAUAACCAAGGGAAACUUUGGCUAAUACCGCAUGAACUCGGAAGAGUAAAGUUGCCGAAAGGUGACGCUAUAGGAGAGGCCUGCGUCCGAUUAGCUAGUUGGUGAGGUAAGAGCUCACCAAGGCGAUGAUCGGUAACUGGUCUGAGAGGACGACCAGUCACACUGGGACUGAGACACGGCCCAGACUCCUACGGGAGGCAGCAGUGGGGAAUAUUGGACAAUGGGGGCAACCCUGAUCCAGCGAUGCCGCGUGAGUGAAGAAGGCCUUCGGGUCGUAAAGCUCUUUAGGUUGGGAAGAAGUUUGUUGGGGGAUAAUCCCAGCAGAUUGACGGUACCGACAGAAUAAGCACCGGCAAGCUCUGUGCCAGCAGCCGCGGUAAUACAGAGGGUGCGAGCGUUAAUCGGAAUUACUGGGCGUAAAGGGCGCGUAGGCGGUUUUAUGGGUGUGAUGUGAAAGCCCUGGGCUUAACCUGGGAAGUGCAUCGCAAACUAUAGAACUGGAGUAUGUGAGAGGGUGGCGGAAUUUCCGGUGUAGCGGUGAAAUGCGUAGAGAUCGGAAGGAACGUCGAUGGCGAAGGCAGCCACCUGGCACAAUACUGACGCUGAAGCGCGAAAGCGUGGGGAGCGAACAGGAUUAGAUACCCUGGUAGUCG
rnacentral:rRNA from 1 species